rnacentral:lncRNA from 1 species
CACAUCAAUAAAAAUUUUUAAAAAUAAAUUUAAUAUUUUUUUGAAAAACUUAUUAGAGAAUAGUAUUAUAUUUUUCAUAAAUUUUAAAUAAUAUAAAUUUAUAUUUGAGAAUAAAAUUAGUAUUAUAGUAUCCUAUAAUUUUUUUAAUUUAUAUGAACCAAACAAUGAAAUGUGAAUAACUCAUUCCAAUUCCCAAUCCACAAAUAAACCAAACGUCUUGGGGGAGUGGGUCAUUCCAAUUACCAUUCCAAUUCAUUCCCAUUCCAUUAUCCAUUCCAAUUCUACCCUUGAACCAAACAAGCCCUAAUAGUUAAUUUCGUACCGUUCUCUCUAAAUAUAGUUAAUUAUAAAUAUAUUUCUAUAAAAUUUAAUUGUUAUAUAUUACUUUUAUAAAAAUUUUAAUAUUUUCAAAUAUGUCCUUCUGAUUUGUUACUGUUAAAGCAUUGUCAUUUCAUGAGUGAAAUGACCUUUUUACUAUUAUAAAUAUAUCCGUUCAAAAAUCCAAACGGUUAAUUAAAGAAUGAAGGGAGGUAGAAAGAUUAAUUUACCUUAUGAACUAACCAGGGUUAGUUAUUUAAUUUAUGAUUAACUAAAUUUUUUUAACGGAUUCUAGCGAUAGCGACAUAUUUGAAAAUAUCAGAACUUUUGCAGAGACAGCAAAUGAAAAUUGAACUUUGUAGGAAUAUAUUUGCAAUUCACUAUGUUUGCAAGGAUUUGUAUGUAAUUAACCAAAUUUUUAAAGGGUAAACAAGUCAGAUAUGAAACGGAUUUUUAAAUAUUCGAAUCCGAAUCCGACAGUUAAACCCUAAAUCCAAACACAAACUCGAACCCAAUGGAUUAUGAAAAUUCAUAUUCAAAAUCAAACCAAAAUUCAAAAUCCAAAUCUGAAUCCAAAAUAAUUAUUUUUUAUCCUAUUUCAAAAUAUAUUAUAUUUAAAUCUAAAAUUUUAAAAUAUAAAUUCAAAUAUAACUUCAAACACACACACAUACAUAUAGAGCUAGGCUCCUAUACUUUCGAAAGUACGGAGGCCUCCGUGUUUAUAAGUUGUUUUCGAUGAUGAGACAUCCGAUUUGGUGAUCGGUUCCGUUAGAUAUGAUCUACGCUAUUGUAAUUAUUUAGAAACCAAAUUUCAUAAAUUUUUUACUUCAUUUGCCUAGUGAACGAGUAGCCGAAAAAUGAACGGCUAAAAAUAAAAAUCUCAUAAAAAAUAGUGUCAAAAGACUCAAAUUUAAAUCAGAAGUAUUGAUCUUGUAAAAUUUUCAAUUAAAGUUUUGUGUAAUUUGGACUGUUCUACAUUGUUGAACUUAAAAACGUGCCACAUCGACCAUUAAAAUAGUUAUUUUCUAUACCUUUAGAUCACAUGGUAAAUAAUGUCGAAAAAUUAUAAAUUUGGUUUCUAGAAAGUUCCAAUAACGUAGAUUAUGCGCGCCUAACGGAGUCGAUCAUUAAAUUGAAUGUCAUAUCAUCAAAAACUACUUACAAGUGCGUAGGGUUCUGUACUUUCAAAAGUACAGUAGACGUACUAUAUAUAUAUAUAUAUAUAUAUAUAUAUAUAUAUAUAUAUAUAUAUAUAUAAUGUGAUGUAAAAUUAGUUCAGAUUCGAAUUGGAUAUAGACAAAAUUCAUAACCGAAUCCAAAUUCAAAUCUGUCAUAUUUUCGUUUUCUAUAUUUAUAAUUAAAAUCAUAUCUAAACUCAUCCAAUUCGGGUUCGGCUACGGAUAUAAUU